UAGGAAACCAGUUCCAAGGGACUCAGCUAAGCCACUCAGAGAAAAAAAGACCUGAGCUUUAUUCGGAGAGGAAAAAAAAAAAAAAUGGUCACUGGAUAGAUGGUCCCUUUGGAUCACGUGCUCAUCCCUGGCCCAGUCAGCUGUGAUCAGAGGAGCAAGACCGUGAGAUAAGGCUUGAAACCUAAGGAAUUUCAAAGAGGGGGCCAUGAUGGGCAUUCAGCGGCAUCUCAGGAGGGGGCAGAGUAACCAGCAGGUGCUUUGCAUGCUGGUCUGGUGUGUCUGGAAAAGGCAUCCCGCUAAAACGUUUGUCAGGAAACUUCUCAUCAGCAUUUCCAGCAUGCAGGAGCAACCAAGAGAGCCACUUAGAUACCAUUUGAUUAUAAUGUGUUUC
rnacentral:lncRNA from 10 species